UACGAAGGGAGCUAGCGUUGUUCGGAAUCACUGGGCGUAAAGCGCACGUAGGCGGAUUUGUAAGUCAGGGGUGAAAUCCCGGGGCUCAACCUCGGAACUGCCUUUGAUACUGCAAAUCUCGAGUCCGAUAGAGGUGGGUGGAAUUCCUAGUGUAGAGGUGAAAUUCGUAGAUAUUAGGAAGAACACCGGUGGCGAAGGCGGCUUCCUGGACCGACACUGACGCUGAGGCGCGAAAGCUAGGGGAGCAAACGGG
rnacentral:rRNA from 1 species